UAGACUGCCGACCAUGCUGGUUCUCUGAUUAUGUCAGGGAUCAAAAGGGAACCCGGUGUGAAUCCGGGGCUGCCCCGCAGCGGUAAGCGAGAACGACUCCACCUUCGCACUGACUCUCGGGAGUUGGGAAGCGGUGGAGAGUAGGGAAUCGGCAACUAGCCGACAUGCUCGCAAGCCCGAAGACCUGCCAGCGUCUGACAUUGGAG
rnacentral:ncRNA from 1 species